UUUUUCCUGCUCUUGUUUCUCUUUCGUCUCCUUCACGAAGGAUUAACUUUCUCCCCUUCUCUUCUUUCUCCUUUGUCUCUUUAGCCGAUUAACUUUCUCUCCUCCGCCCGUUGUUUCAUUCUAUUCGAUUUUCAUCUUGUCGUUGUUUUCAUCCUCUCAAGUUUUUAGAUCUGGUACGAGAGCAUUUUUGCGGAUCUCAGAUCUCGUAAUUACUCACGCUCUGGAGUAGCCUUCAUUCACUGUCGAAUCCAUGAACAUGAGGAACCUACCCGUAAAGACUACUUCCGAGAACGAACCCAAUUACUUGAUGCUGACCGCUCUGAAUACAACACACCGUCGAAGUGACUCAGGGUUUGGUGGGGCUUCAUCAUACGGAAGCUCAGGUAGUCAUACAUCAAGCAUGAAAAAGGAUAGUGCUGGCAAUGACUCUCCGAGGAAGCUAGAUUUGGAUGGUUUGACUCCUUUCGAGAAGAAUUUCUAUGUCGAAUCGCAGGCUGUGGCGGCUAUGACUGAGGCUUUCCUGAUUAUGUUUUGGAAGAGAUUAAGAAGGCUGGUUUCACUGAACCUACGCCUAUACAAUCUCAGGGCUGGCCAAUGGCAAUGAAGGGACGUGAUCUUAUUGGCAUUGCUGAAACUGGCUCUGGAAAGACUCUUUCCUACUUAUUACCUUCAAUCGUCCAUGUCAAUGCCCAACCAAUUAUAGAUUAAAAUGGACACUAUUGAAGUCAGUAACCUGAAUAGGCAAUAUCUAUUUCGUCCUUCUCAUGUUGGGCGCUCCAGGGCUAAGGUAUAUUUGCUUGAGCUAAGUCCAAGGGAAUCCAGUUCAUAAGAGAAUUCAUGUGACCAUAUAGACUCACAGUUGUUAACCAAAGUUGUUUGGGUUUAUUAAAUCGAGUUUAGGAGGUAUAUGUGAGCAACCUGAGCUCAUUCUCCCUCGCUUCAAGGCAAUCUGAGCUCAUUCUCCCUCGCCUUAAGUUCCUUAAGAAAUGCUUCCAUCAGCUCAGCUUCCUUUCUCCUUGUCUCGGUCUUUGCAGUUUGCUUCAGGUCAAAAUCUUCAACAUUCAUCUCAAAAGCAAAAGACUUCUUGGGAAAGCAAAGCAACCUCCUUCUCCGUCGCUUCAAACAUUAACCCUUGAUGUUUGUGCAUUUCCAAUAUUUACUUUCUUUUUUUAGUAGUAUGAUGUAUUCUUUGUAUUCUUAUUUUUAACUAUGUUUUUAGUUUUA